GUUCUUAUUAUAGGAACCACAAGAGUAGGACACACUGCAGCAACAACCAUCAGGCAACUUGGAAAAAGCAAAGGUUAUUAUUCACCAAUCCUGGAGGGUACCUGGCACACCUGGGGCCAUACCGCAAACUCAUGGAUUUGGAGGGAAGGAGAGAAAGCACAGACCUGGGGUUCUGCCUUUAUUCGUGCGUUCGCUAUUUAUUGGUGAAUUUAAAACAUAAGAGCAAGAAGUAAAGUACAGGAAGGGAGAAGCAAGUAAUCAGUUAUCUAGGUCACCAAGGGCUUUCUAAAAGGGAAACUUCAUGGAUGAGCUUGAAGGACUCCGUUCAACAUUUCUUGUAAGGCAGGUCUCGUGGAGAUGGAUUCCCUCGGCUUUUGUCUGUGUUUUCCUGACCCUCAUCUUCAACAUCCAAUGAGUGCUUCCUGUCUACCAGACCCCAUACCGAGUGCUUUACCUGCGUUGUCUCCUUUACACCUCGCCACUGCCCUCUGAGACAGUGAUUGCUCUUAUCUGCAUCUACAGAUGAGAAAACUGGGCUGAGAGAAGUUCCCUUACAAUGACCUAAAUAGCAAAUGAUGAAGCCUCAUGUCAACCUAGAUCUGACUCAGAAUCUGGACCGUUAGCCACACGACUGAACUGUCACAAUCAUAGCAUAUAUUGAAGUCAUCAGGAGAAAGCAGAAAGCCGCAUUUAAUCCUGGUUUUGAGGAAUGAGAGAAAAUACGGAUUGAGAACUGAGCAAAUCAUGCCAUCUGAGCAAAGUGAAGAUUAUAGUGACCCUGACAUAUGAGAGAGACAGCAGAAUCCAUUCCAGUGGACCGGAGUCCCUACUGCAGACUAUUAAAUAAAAGUGAACAUAUAAGCUAGGGUCAUUAAAUGGAAUUUCUUGAAUGUCAGGCUGAGAAGUUAAAACUUGAACCUCUAAGCAGUAGGAAAUCAAGAGCAAAAGCAUAAUGAUUUCGAAAAGAGGAGGACAAUACAGUCUGUUUUUGUUUCCACUGCCCUUUCUGAUGGCACUCAGAUCUCUAAUAGCCAUUCUGGGUUCAGUGAGGACAUAAACUCUUCCUUCCUGAGUUAUAACUGACACCUCAUAGAUGGUCACAGUAAUGUUAUCCCAGCAAUCACCAUGCAUUAAAGGUGGUUAGGCUUUCAAGAGUAAAUUUCCAGAUACUUGAUAAGAUUAUACAAAUUAUUUAGAAUAGCUGCUUUCUCGGACCCAGUUGUCUUCUCUUUUGUAUAUUAACGCACCUUUUUCUCCAUCAAAGAUCUAUGCCAGAAAUUAAUCGGGAGAGUAAAAGAUAAGGGUGUGGGACCAAGUAAAAGAUAAGGGUGUGGGAAAGUGCAGCAUUUAUUGCAGGGCACCAAGCAAGGAGCCCAGGUAGCUAAUGCUCAAUGGGACCUAGUACAUCUCCCAUUGUACUAGGAGAUGGUGAUAAUGCAUUCCUCACGACGACUGCUCACGUCCAGCUUCCAAAAUGCCUUAUUCUUACAUCAUGGCUGCGUAUCAGGAGAUAAACUAGUUGCCCCACAGGAAGAUUGAGACCAUUCACUGAUUAGAAUACCUAAACUGGGUCAGGAAUUUGCUAGGGACUGGAGACCUACGGAGCCAAAGGGUCUCUUAUCCUCAUCGAGCUUCCAGUCUGGGGGAGGACCGACACUGGUCAAAUAAACACAAACAUACACAUUGAUAUUGAUGAGGACUCAUAUUAUAUAAUUCACUUCAAUAUAACAGAUGAGUUAAAUGAAAAUUUGUUUUGUUUUUUGUAUGCUAUAGGCCCUGAUGUGCAAUCCUGAAACGUGAUUCAUUUGCAAAGGCCCUCAAGCAAGUUAUUCAAUUUCACCAAGGUUCAGUCUCCUCAUAUAUCCAAUGGGAGUAAUAGUAACAAAUGGGGAGUUUUAUAAACAUAAGUGAGAUAAUUUAUGUGAAAAUGCUUGCAUUGUGCUUGAUACAUACUAAAUAUUAAAAUAUGUGAGCUACUGUAAUUCUUAGAGCCUCUUAGGAGUCUGCAUCUUUCCUGCUGUGGGAUAUAGAAUCGGAUUAGCCAAAUAGUUCUUAACUGCAAUCACAUCAACAAUGUUUUGUGCUAACAGUGUAUGCUUACAAAAUAUCUCUCACAGGCACCGUAUAACAUUCUGGAAGUAGGGAAAGAAGAUGGUAGUUUUUAAUCUAGUAAGGGAAAUAGAUGUGGAUACAGAUCGAAAUAGACAUAGAUGUACAGACCACAGUGGGAGCUGGACUUGGUAAGUGUGGGCUGGAGAUGGAAAAAGCUAGACGGAGCAUGAUACACAUUAGAACACCGCAGUGAGAGUUAUCUCAAUGGUAAAAAGCCUUAACCUGAAUCUGGAGGCAGGACAGAAGCCCAGGUGGAGGCAAAAGAGAAGAACAAGCAGCAAGGAAACACUUCAGCUCCACCCCAGCCUCCUGGUGGAGAGAGCAGCCUAACCAACGUCAACCUAGAAAAAAAAUACACGUUGCAAAGAAUGCUUCCAUUAAAGGCGCUAUGACAACGAUGAUCCUAGCUUCUUGACACCAACUUCAAUAGAGAUGCAAGUAAGAGACAUAAAACAGCCCUAGGUCUCAGGUGGUUAAGAUUUCUUUACAUCUCAGAGUUGUUAUUUUUAAAGUCUCAGCCUGAAAACUGACGUCCCCACAAAAACCUGCAACUAAACGUUUAUAACAGCUUAUUCAUAAUUGCCAAAAUGUGGAAGCAACCAAGAUGCCCUUCAACAGGUGAACACGAAUAGGUGAAGAUGAAUAUCACGAUGAGUAGAUGAAGACAUGGAAGAGUUUUAAAUGCAUAAUCACUAAAAGGAAGAAGCCAAUCUGAGAAGGCUGUAUACUAUAGUAUGGAGACAGCAUGAUUCUAACUAGAUGACAUUUUGGAAAAGGCAAAACUAUGCAAGUUACUGAGCCAAACUUGGGUCCACUCACCCGUGCACAGUAAAGCCAAUCUACCGACCCCAGGUUGUGGUGAAGGAAAGUGCAGCAUUUACUGCAGGGCACCAAGCAAUGAGCCCAGGUAGCUAAUGCUCAAAAACCCCAAACUCCCUGGUAGCUUUCAGGGAAAGGUCUUUACAGACAGGGUGAGGGAGAGGGAUGCAGGUUGUGUUAUCAGCUCAUGGACGUUCCUCCGACUGGUUGGUGGGGAGGUAAGUGGGAGUCGGCAUCAUCAACCUUCCGGUUCCAACUGGUCUGGGGUCUACGUGCUUGUGGGCAGCAGACAGUUAACUUCUCCCACCUGGUGGGGGCUUCAGUACCUGCAAAACGGCUCAAAGGCUCAAAGCUCAGAAUAUUAUCUGCAGCUCUUGAGGAGGAACUAAAGGUCUCUGACUUUGUUUAAUGGCUAAACCAUUAUUACUUUGCCUUACUUGACUGCUUUCCUCUGUUUCUGCAUUUUCUCACUUCUCCAAUUAAAUUUAUUCUUUGGACCUUGGGGAAGGCCUAGGAAGCUAAAGUUAUUCUACAAACAAGAGGCAGGUAGAGGACAUGGCAGUGGGGAGGUGGUAGUCUGUCCCAGGAAGGCCCCAUAGGGUUCUACUCAGUUACCUGGAGACAGUAAAAAGAUCAGUGAUUGCAAGGGCUUUGGUGGGAGGUCGGGAGGGAUGAAGAGAUUGGAGUAUAACUGAUUUUAAGGCAGUGAAACUAUUCCAUAUGAUAUUAUAAUGGUGGGUGCAUGUCGUUAUAUAUUUGUCAAAACCCACAGAACGUACAACACCAAGACUGAGCCCUAAU